ACCUCGGCUGUACAUCUGAACAUGUUAAAUUAUACGUAACCAUAUACUGUACAUAAAGUAAUAAUUAUGACUACAUAUAAGUAUGUGUAAAAAAAAAUGAAGUAAAUUAAUGAACGAUCAAUAAAGGCUACACUUCUAUCUGAACUUCGCAAUUUCCAAGGCGUAUGUAAACUUAUGACCUCAACUGUAAACUCUCACACACUUUUAAUAAUGUUCAUAACCAUGACAGUGAUGUAGGUCAAACACCCGUUUAGUUGCUACGUUGCUGGUUUAUAUUGCUCAUAAGUGAGACGAACUUGUCCGAAGAUGGAACAAACUCUCAUAGAAACUAGGCGAGACUUUUUGGGAUCAGUAACGUAGGGCUUUAGGCUUCACGACGGUGUGAAGCUUAAUUUAAAAAACUGCUAUGUUGGGUAUUGAAUAAGAACAGCUUGUGUUUCUGUCAUCACGGCUUUUAACACUUCUGAGACAGCAACACACACAUUUCUGAAACAGCAACACACAGGUUUCUGGGGUUUUCUCGUCACACUCAUGCAAAGCACUUUUACCAAGCAGUGGUUUUCUUACCGAGUUAGUGUUUUGUACUGUUUUUUUCUUUUUUUUUUUUAUAAAGUAUCCAGUAUACCAUUUCUUAUCUUAUUCUCAAUUAUUAACAAUAUAAACGUUAAUUACGGAAAUAGAUCCUCAAAAGUCCUCUUGCUCAGGGAUCCUUCGGAUGGGUGUUGGUGUCAGUGAUGUACAUAAUAAAGGUCACUCAUUUAAAUAAUAAAAACGUUUUAAAAAAAUAAAUAAAUAAAUAAAAAGAACUGUCUUAUUUAGUAUUUUAAGUACUUUAAGAAAAACAAUAAGUUGUGAAUUUUCUGUUGGUAAUAUAAUCAGUAUAUUCUCUAAGGAAUGCUUGUGCUCCAAUAGACUAAUUUUGAAACCGUGGAACCGUGUGUGUGUGUGGGUGUGUGUGGGUGUGUGUGUGAAACCUCAGUGCACGUAACGGAGAGUAGCAGUGUGGUGCGGGUGUGUACAAGUUUGCAAUACUGAUCUGCAGGUCAGCAGCUUCUCACUGAUGGAGUUUACACACAUUCACCACACACUCCGUGCCAAACAUGAUGACAGAGAGAGAGAAAAAAGCCUGUUAUCCGCAAAUAAAUAGAAAUAUAAUAUUAUAUAAUAUAACAGAACUUUAUUAGAAAGAUUAUUAUUUAAUUUUUUUUUUUUUAAGGGUAAGAAAAUUACAGCGUUGGAGAGAUAAGGACCAUCUGGUAAACGGGAAAUAUCUCCAUGGGUGCAAAAAUAUAUUAUUAUUUCUCAGAAAUUAAUAUUUAUUCCAUCAUUAUUUAUUUAUUAAGUGACUUUAGGAUUCUAGUUCACGUCCUUUUGGUUACAGGGCCUUAGUCACUGACAUUGUGAUCAGUUUACUCAAAGCGCAACUUGCUGUUGUAACUCCAGAUUGAGAAGGAAGAUUUUCCUUUUACUUUUUUUGUUUUCUUUUUCCCCAAAAACAAUGAGAGAUGCAAACUUUUGCAGUCGACUCAAAAAGAUAUUAAAAGUAUGAUACAUGUCCAGUAACCUAUUCAGCCUAAUGAACACAUUGUUCUUCAUUAUCAACUGUUCACUGAUAAAUUAUUAUUUUAUAUUUCCUGGCAUCCCCAUCCAGGGUAUAUUCCCAUUUCACGUCAAUCGUUCCCACAAUCCACCUGAACUCCGGAGAGACUCUGGAUCCACCAAGACCAUGACCAUGAGAAAGAACGUACUGAAGAUAAGUCUGUAACACAAGCUUUGGCAGCAAUAUGUAUUAAGAAGUUAAGAAGUUUAAUACUGAGUGAAACCAGGAGGCAGUUGCACGGCAGCACAGCGGGAAGCGUUGCCACUUCACAGCUCCAGGAUUCCCGGUUUGAUCCUGAAUUCAGGUUACUGUCUGUACAGAGUGUCACAUGUUCUCCUCGAGUACGUGCGGGUUUCCUCCGGGUUCUUCAGUUUCCUCAAAGCUCCAAAAAACAUGCAGUUAGGUGGAUUGGUGGAUCCAGAUUGCCCCUAAGUGUGUGUGUGUGUGUGUGUGUGUGUGUGUGUGUGGGUAUGGGUGUGUAUGCAUUUCCCUGUGAUGGACUGGCAUCCUGGGUGUGUUCCUGACUCACACACAGUGUUCCCGGGAGAAACUCUGGAUCCCUGACCAUGAUAACGUGCUUACUGAAGAUGAAUGAAUAUACAAUGAGGUGUUCGGUCAUCAAUACAGCCUAUGGACUGGGGGGGGGGCAUUGACUCCUCCAUGUUUGUCUUUUCUCAGCAACAAUCCAGCCAUCUAAAUGUAAUGAGUGAUGUAUAUUUAUGUCCUUCUACUGUAUUUACUGCUGAUGCUGCGAGCGGCCAUGUCGAUUCGAUGUCACUUGUUGGACACAAGGUUGAGGAGACCUUUCCGUGUUCCUGAGUGGGAAUUUCCGAGUUGAGGGAGUGUUUUCUUGUUUUUUUUUUCCUAGUCAGAGUUCGGAGUUAUUACUUUUAGUCGAAUGCAGCAUUAUUCUACACCCACUACAAGCUCAUACCCUAUUGGUCUAUUUUAGAUUCUUAUCGUUUUGUUUGUUUGUUUGUUUGUUUUUUUCCAAUGUUGACAUAUACACAGUGUACAGUCUAUAAUGAAUAAGUCAAUAUUUAAUUAUAUUUAUAAGCUGUGUAAUAUUUUAAAAGAUCAGUUAAACCAAAAGAAACUAUAAGACAGAAUGAAUGGAGAGAACGAGGAGGACGUGUGGGGGAAGAGGGUUGGGGGGUUGGUUAUAGACAACAGCCGCUGGCUAGACAGUAACGGUAGAUGUUGGAUGGGGAUAUGUAACUAGUUUGAACUCUUCUUUCCCCAUCAACAUGAUAUUUCUUACAUCGCAUAUCAUUCUGCUAGUAACAUUCUCAGUCCUUGUUAGAUGUGAUGGUGAACCAAGAUCGCUUGAUUCCGGACAAGACCGAUGUUAAACUUCUUGACAAGCAUGUAGUCCAAACACAGGAUGUGCACAUUAUGUGUGGGAUGUGUAAGAAGGCUGUUAAAAAUCUGAUGAUUCUGGUGAUGAAACAGAUUGAUAAGGAGAUAAAGCUAAUAUGCGGCAAAUCGAAGCACUCCCAUAAUACCUGCAAGCAGCACUUGUACAAGUACAAGGCUGUGGUCAUUCACCGAAUUUUCAACGGGAAGAACGCGAGAGAAAGUUGCAAGCAUAUGCGCUUAUGUUAAAAGCUGUAAAUUGUGAUUUUAUCACUUAAACUCGAUGGUCAAAGUUGCGUCCUGGAGAUACUUUAAUGCUUUGAUUGAUUCAUAAAUCUGCUUUUGAUCAUACAUGUUUCAUUUAUUUCUGUAAUCAUCUGUUAUUAUCUGUAAAGAAAAUUACAAAAAGUAUAAAAAAAAAAAAAUUGUAAUCAGAAAUCACUGGGCUGAUUAUUUUUUGUAUUACCUGUACUAUAUUAGUUAACACAUAUAACUGUACUUAUAUAACAAUAAAUAUAGCAUGCAUGCCAAUGUUGUGUGACUAAAGAGAAAUAAAUAAAUGAAUGUUUGCCGGA